UUUAACAAUCUAGACUAUGUUUAUGCCUGUAUGUGUUAAUCCUGGUACCAUUCCAUCCUGAUUGCACUAAUGCAUCUGAUUUGAUGGUGUAUACGUCGUUGAACAAGUGGCAAUACUGAUUGCUGCUAUUGCACUAAUUUGUUGUGUAUCAUGACCAUCCCAUCCUUAUUGCUGCUAUUUCACAUGAUUUGAUGCUGCAUUUCUCAGGUCUCUGUUUGGUUCAGUACUGCCAUGGUUAGUUAAAUGUUGGAGCAGCUUGUGAGUGUUCAGUCAAGUCCAACUUUGAAUGCUUAGUUCAAGUAUUUUGCUAGGUUCUGAACUUGUAGGGAAGCAAUCCUGGACUAAUAAUUGAUUUGAACUUUGUUUAGCCACUUUUACUUCAUUGUUGCAUGCGUAGAGUUGAUGGUAUCGUGGUGUUUCAUGGGUUUGGUGCUGGUCCAUCUGUCGAGUGCAUAGCUUUAGAUAUCUUUUCGUUGUCCAAUAUGACUAUGGUUCUGCUUCUGGUGGUCUAUUCUAUAUUGAAAUAAACAGAUGAAUUUGACCGAGUCCAUCUCUGCAUAUUUGCUUGAUUGAUUCAGUAUACGUAUAUCGCCAUGCAUCUAUGGUUCAAGGGUUUUGCUAGGUUCUGAAUUAGGAGUGGCAAGCAAUCUUGGGCUAGUAAUAAGUAACUAUGUUUAGCCAUUUGUACUUUAUUGUUGAUGUCGUAGAGUUGUCUUUGUCCAUUGUUUGUUAGUUCAGCCUUUUUUAAUGUUGGUUUGCUGGCGGUUGCUAUGUCGUAUGGCAUUAGCUCCAUGUCUGUUUCCAAUUGUGCUGGCUCUGCUUCUCGUGAUAUAUACUGAAAAAAACAGAGACCAACUGCAUCACCAGUCAAUUUUGAUUUGGAAUUAGCAAUGUGCUUCUGCCUUGAAUGAUGUUCUGCUUUUUACGUCUCGUCUUUUCUGUUAUUAAUGCAACCAGUCAUGCCAUGUAAUGCCAUUGGCAUUAAGUCCUUUCUUGAGAUCUUGAAAAAUGCAGAGCCUACCGAAGUUAAAUCAACAAAUCUGAUUGGUCGGGAGUCUGUCCCUUCAGUAUUGGCAUGUCCAGUUAAGUGUCGGAGCAGCUAGUGCGUGAUUGAUUUGAGUCCUCUCUGCAUGUUUUGGUUGAUUGGUUCAGUAUACGUCGCCGUGCUUGUGUGGUUAAAGUGUUUUGAUCGAGGGAGUGACAAGCAUUAUUGGUCUAAUAAUUUAUAACUAUGUUUUGCCACUUGUACAUUAUUGGUGCAUGCCGUGGAGUUGCUGUUAUCGAUUGUUUGAUAGUUCAGCCUUUUAAAUGUUAUCUGGUGACGGUUGCUAUGUCAGAUGCCAUUAGAUUCCUUAUCUGUUUCCGAUAGGCCUGUCUCUGUUUGUGAUGGUACAUUAUGCUGAAACAAACUUAGAUGAACUAUCAGUUUUGAUCUGGAAUCAGUAGUCUGUUCAGAUUCCUUAUCUGUUUUGAAUAGGCCUGUCUAUGUUUAGCCACUUGUACUUUAUUGCUGCUUCUAUAGAGUUUCUUCUGGUGGGUUAAGCCUUAAAUGACGUUCUGCUUGUUACUUCUUGCCUUUGCUGUUAUUAAUACAACAAGCCAUGUCAUGUAAUGCCGUCAGCAGUAAGUCCUUCAUUCAUAUGCUGAGAAAUAUAAAACUUAUACUUAAGUGAAGCAAGGUUAGUGUCAACAACUCUUCACGGUCAUGAAUGUCCAAUUCAGAGUUGUGUUAUUUCAUAUGGCUGACUGCACCUUUGGUACUGGCAUGUCAAGAGAAGUGUUCUAUGCUGCCCAUUGCAUCAUUUCCUUGAUUUUUCAGAUAGUGCCCAAACCAGCCGAUCUUAAAAUUCCAAGAUUCUAUAUAUCACUCCCGGCUCCAAAUAUUAUUUCAACAUGUUAUAUAUAAUUCCUAAUGUGGCUGUUUAUUUCAUUAAGAUUGUUGAACAACUGUUGCCAGGAUGUUUUGUCGUCACUUGUCAUGUUAAUCGUUGGUUUAAUUUUAUCAAAUAACCCCAAUGUAUUUUCAUAAAGCAUGUUGAGUGUAUGUUCUGCACCUGCACAUGGGAAUACAGUAUUGACUAAUAAGUACUCCCUCCGUUUCUAAAUAUAAGUCUUUUAAAAAAAUUCAUUAGGAGUCUACGUACAAAGCAAAAUAGAUGAAUCUACACUGUGUAAAGUAUGUCUAUAUACAUCUGUAUGUAGUCCACCUGUGAAACCUGUAGAAAGACUUAUAUUUAGGAACGGAGGGAGUAUGUGUCAAAUUUCUUGAUAUUUUGUGAAUUAAGAGACAAAAAAGUAGUGGUAUUACUAUCCAAUAACAACUGUAGGACAGGCGCACUAUACCUGAUUAUGUACUGUAGCAGUGUGAAAAAAUGUAAAAGGCCAUGGGUACCAGUACUAGAGAAGCAUGGCCGUUGUUGGCCAAACACACCUACAUGGUACAGUACUGAGUUACUCCCUCUCUGAACCCACCUAGUUGGCAGAUUGCCACAAGUGUGUUACAUGCUACUCAUAGUAGGGAGUAUCAUAUAGUAAUAUCAUGCACAUGAUACUAUGGUAUGAUACUACUCUCAUAGUGCAUAGUAUCAUAAACUAGUGUCAUAGAUGGUCUCAUUUAUUGAUAUGCAUGACACUUAGUAGCAUAGCAUUUAACAUUGAUACGGUAUCUUACCUAUGUUACUCUAACCCUCUCUCUCUAGAUGUGCUCCGCCCACCACUGGGAAUUCCUUCUACCUCCUUCUCUAGAUGCAUUCUGAAGAAUCCAGGACUUACCCUCUCUUUUGUUGUAUCCUAGGGUUCUGUUUAUAUAUAAUAUGAGGAAACGUUGAUGUUUCCGUGUCAAUAGUGGGUUGUGGUAUCUGUAUAUGCUCAUUCACCCUCCCUCUUCAUUAAUCUUGUUCAAUUUUGCUUCUUCUAGAUGUCAAAGCUCAAGCAAGAUGUAUUUGAUAAGGCACAUGAAAUGGCACUGGCUGCUACCACCAGAAAGAGGCCUACCCAGCGCUCCUAUAACGAUCUUGAUAAGGUUAAAAUCACCUCCAGGCCUACUGCACUGCAACUGCUGCACAUGUACAAGGAUAUCCACAACUUAUUUGUUAAAUAUAGUGCUGCUUUGGUUCCCCGGAAUGUGUGUUUUGCACAGCCUGUGGGAGGAAUACCGUCAACGUUCAAAGAAGAGCUUCUUGAUGGAGUUCCUGUUGCAAUACCUUAUGAUAAGCAGAAUUUGUGCUUUUUUAUCAUUGAGGUUGUCAUUGACAAGGAUGUGGUUUUUCAAUUCCCAAUGCGUUUCGAUAGCAUGUACUGCUGUGGUUUCCGUGUUCUUGAGCUUGGUGAUGAUCCACUGGAAAAGAUCUGGUAUUCAUUCGGGAAAGUUCAAAUACUUCCGAACAGACUUUUCAAAAACAGGAAGAAAUCUGGUCUGUCAUUAGAUUAUAAUAACUUGUAAGCUUCUAACUCUUCCAUUUCAUUACUGCGUUCUUUCAUAGCCUGCUUAUUGAUAAGUUUCAUGUGCCAAUUUGUUCGCUGCCUUUCCUAAUUUUUAGUUUUUUGUUUGUUGAAAUGGACCAUUAAAUUCAUACUUUAUUGUUUGUUUAAAUGAAGUUGAUAUUUUUUGAUUAUCAUAAAUAAUAUACAGGAUACAACACUUCUUAUUUGUGCAUGCAUGUUAAACAGAAUGCACCUCAUGUUUAGUGCCCUAGAGUAUCCUGUUUUUGUCGUUUUUGCUGGUUUGUUCCUUGCCUUUUUUUACUCUUUGUUUGUAAUGAAAUGUUUAUUGUUUGUUGAAUCGAACCAUGAAAAUAAAGAUUCAAAUGUAUAAGUUCAUUUGAUACUUUUUUGAUUCUCUUAAAUAAUAUGCAGAUUACAACUCUCCCAAUAAUACUUCUUAUUUGUGCACCCAUGUUAAACAGAAUGCACCACAUGCUUUCGUGCCUAUAGUACCCUUUCUUGCCUGUUUUUGUCGUUUUGUGAUUGUUUGUUCCUCUCUUUUUUGACUUUCUUUGUUUGUAAUUAAUCAUGACAGAUCAUUUGUUUGAAAUUUAAAUAUAAUCCUUUUCUAUGAAACAACCGCAAAAUUCAGAUCUUUGGUGGUCUCAUUGCAAAGUUUUGCCACCAUUUUCGAGCGUUUCAACCUCUCAAAGAUGAUGAUGAUAAUUCCAUGGCCCAGCAGUUGAAAGACUCAAUUUUUUUUGUAUUCAGUGAGGGUUCUAGAUUCUGGUUUGCAAUGUGUUUAUCCUUAGAAGGCGUUCAAUGCAAAACGGUAUAUUGUGUGCGUUUGACUGACUUGAUGGCAAAUCUGAUCCAAGAUUAUGGUGACACGUCUCGGCUUUGCGUUUACUUGUGGCUUGCGUUUCUUGAGAGGGAGAUGGACUCGGCUGCAACCUCAUUGCAUGAUAAAAGCAGGUUCCCUGAUUUAUUCUUGGCUUUUCGCAAAGAGGUGGAAAAAUUCUUAAAGUAUGCAGAGGCAGAUCCAGGCUUUAAUAACCGUCCAUUGAUCAAGUUCAAAGGAUCCAAUGAUGGAUAUUGCCUAGGUGCAUUAGUCGGUCAAUCUCUCUUCAUCAUCAAAUAUAGCUGUGUCCUAGUUCGCAAGGCUUUAAUGCGUGAAGCGAAUUAUACAAGAAUCUAGCCAGUGAUGUUUAAAGUUACUAAUGAUGAUGUUGAAUGUUAUGAUGACUGAGCAAGCUGUGACACCGGAAAAUCACAAGUUGUGCAGGAGUCCAUCAGAAGCUCGUUCUUGCAUUACAGUAUGGAAGCAAUGUCUAACGAUGAUGUUGCAUGUUAUGAUGACUGGGCAAGGGGUGACACCGGAAAAUCACCACCAAUAUUCCGUUUCUCCUGUCUUUGGAUGUAAAAAGCUAUUUUGCAGUUGGUAGGAUGCUGAAAUUUUGGUAGCAAUUGGCCUUGAUUGUUUUGGUGGUGAUUGGGAGGAUGUUGCAAUUUUUUGUAGCAAGUGACGCAAGAGUUCAUCAGAGCAAUCUUCGUUUAUCAAAUAUAUUUCUAAAAGAUACUUGCAGUCAAUGGCAUGUAGAAAUUUUUGUAGCAACUAUUACUAA